rnacentral:rRNA from 1 species
GAUGAACGCUGGCGGCGUGCCUAAUACAUGCAAGUCGAGCGAACAGAUGAGGAGCUUGCUCCUCUGACGUUAGCGACGGACGGGUGAGUAACACGUGGAUAACCUACCUAUAAGACUGGGAUAACUUCGGGAAGCCGGAGCUAAUACCGGAUAAUAUAUUGAACCGCAUGGUUCAAUAGUGAAAGACGGUUUUGCUGUCACUUAUAGAUGGAUCCGCGCCGCAUUAGCUAGUUGGUAAGGUAACGGCUUACCAAGGCAACGAUGCGUAGCCGACCUGAGAGGGUGAUCGGCCACACUGGAACUGAGACACGGUCCAGACUCCUACGGGAGGCAGCAGUAGGGAAUCUUCCGCAAUGGGCGAAAGCCUGACGGAGCAACGCCGCGUGAGUGAUGAAGGUCUUCGGAUCGUAAAACUCUGUUAUUAGGGAAGAACAAAUGUGUAAGUAACUAUGCACGUCUUGACGGUACCUAAUCAGAAAGCCACGGCUAACUACGUG